CAAUUUCAAACAUUAAUUAUCAGUACCUAAAUGAGAUUAUGAUUUGGCCGGAAUGGAUUCACUCUCGUUCGCUUCUACAGUUUGCUAAAAGCCAUCAAACAGGUAUGCGUUGGUAUUGGACCAACGCAGGUGUGGCACUGUUGCUCAGUUUAACACAGAGCUCACACGAAGAUGUUCAAGAAAUGGUUGUUGGAGCCGUUUCAGCUUUUACCAUUGCUGAUUAUGAGUAUGUUGGUAUAAAUCUUGCAUUUGCUAGAGUCCUUGCUCACCAAGGUGGUGUCUUGCUCCUUGUGAAUCUCGCGAAAUCUUGGAGGGGCUUCACAUUGAAGCAAUAGUGGUAUUGUUAGGGUUAUGUGGUUGUGUUUUUUAAAGUUUUGACAUUAACUCAUCAGUUAGAUUUUGUAUAUUGUCAUAUGAAAGUAACAUAUUUAAGUAGGUUAUUGUCUUAGUAAAACAAUUAAAUUGACAUCUAUAUAGAUUUAUUGGGCUAACUCUUAUGUCUCAUGUCAUAAUAUUUCUUAUUUUGUGAUGUUUAGGCAAUGAGAAAUGUGUCAUAUUGUCCCGAGGUUAAAAAAGUUGGGGCAGAAGUUGGAGGAAUGGAUAUUCUAGUAAAUUUGGCAAGAUCCACGCACAAUUACCCUAGAGUACCACUGCUUCUUCAAGCUUAAGCCAUCCUUCUAAUAUUUUAUAAGGUUCAAAAGAAUGAAAAUGUUGGCUUCUUUUGCAAUGGCUCAAGCAAGUGCAACAUUUAUAACAACAUAUUCAUAAUCACCAAUUGCAGAAGUUGAAAGUGUUGCAACAUCCAUUUCCUGAAUGUCUUCUUGUGUGCUCUGUGUUAAACUCAGUAAUAGUGCUACACCUUCGUUGGUCAAAUACCAAUGUAUACCUGCUUGAUCGCUUUUAGCAAAUUGUAGAAGCGAACGAGAGAGUAUCAAUUCCGGCCAAAUCAUAAUCUCAUUUAAGUUCUGAUAAUUAAUGUUUGAAUUCCUCCAGUUGGAGAAUAAAAUUUCAAACAUUAACUAUCAGUACCUAAACGAGAUUAUGAUUUGGCCGGAAUGGAUUCACUCUCGUUCGCUUCUAUAGUUUGCUAAAAGCCAUCAAACAGGUAUGCAUUGGUAUUGGACCAACGCAGGUGUAGCACUGUUGCUCAGUUUAACACAGAGCUCACAGGAAGAUGUUCAAGAAAUGGUUGUUGGAGCCGUUUCAGCUUUUGCAAUUGGUGAUUAUGAGUAUGUUGGUAUAAAUCUUGCAUUUGCUAGAGUCCUUGCUCACGGAGGUGGUGUCUUGCUCCUUCUGAAUCUCACGAAAUCUUGGAGGGGUUUCACAUUGAAGCUGUAGUGGUAUUGUUAGGGUUAUGUGGUUGUGUUUUUUAAAGUUUUGACAUAACUCAUCAGAUAGAUUUUGUAUAUUGUCAUUUGAAAGUAAUAUAUUUAUGUAGGUUAUUAUCUUAGUAAAACAAUUAAAUUGACAUCUAUAUAGAUUUAUUGGGCUAACUCUUCUGUCUCGUGUCAUAAUAUUGCUUAUUUUGUGAUGUUUAGGCAAUGAGAAAUGUGUCAUAUUGUCCCGAGGUUAAAAAAGUUGGGGCAGAAGUUGGAGGAAUGGAUAUUCUAGUAAAUUUGGCAAGAUCCACGCACAAUUACCCUAAAGUACCACUGCUUCUUCAAGCUUAAGCCAUCCUUCUAAUAUUUUUUAAGGUUCAAAAGAAUGAAAAUGUUGCCUUCUUUUGCAAUGGCUCAAGCAAGUGCAACAUUUAUAACAACAUAUUCAUAAUCAGCAAAUCCAGAAGUUGAAAGUGUUGCAACAGCCAUUUCUUGAAUGUCUUCUUGUGUGCUCUUUGUUAAACUCAGUAAUAGUGCUACACCUGCGUUGGUCAAAUACCAAUGUAUACCUGCUUGAUCGCUUUUAGCAAACUGUAGAAGCGAACGGAAGAGUAUCAAUUCCGGCCAAAUCAUAAUCUCAUUUACGUUCUGAUCAUUAAUGUUUGAAUUCCUCCAGUUGGAGAAUACAAUUUCAAACAUUAAUUAUCAGUACCUAAAUGAGAUUAUGAUUUGGCCGGAAUGGAUUCACUUUCGUUCGCUUCUACAGUUUGCUAAAAGCCAUCAAACAGGUAUGCAUUGGUAUUGGACCAACGCAGGUGUAGCACUAUUGCUCAGUUUAACACAGAGCUCACAGGAAGAUGUUCAAGAAAUGGUUGUUGGAGCCGUUUCAGCUUUUACAAUUGCUGAUUAUGAGUAUGUUGGUAUAAAUCUUGCAUUUGCUGGAGUCCUUGCUCACUGAGGUGGUGUCUUGCUCCUUCUGAAUCUUGUGAAAUCUUGGAGGGGCUUCACAUUGAAGCAGUAGUGGUACUGUUAGGGUUAUGUGGUUGUGUUUUUUAAAGUUUUGACAUAACUCAUCAGAUAGAUUUUGUAUAUUGUCAUUUGAAAGUAACAUAUUUAAGUAGGUUAUUGUCUUAGUAAAACAAUUAAAUUGACAUCUAUAUAGAUUUAUUGGGUUAACUCUUAUUUCUCGUAUCAUAAUAUUGCUUAUUUGUUAUAUUUUGUGAUGUUUAGGCAAUGAGAAAUUUGUCAUAUUGUCCCGAGGUUAAAAAAGUUGGGGAAGAAGUUGGAGGAAUAAAUAUUCUAGUAAUUUUGGCAAGAUUCCCAUAUUGUCCCGAGGCUGCUAUAGUUUUGUCGAACAUUUUAACACAUAUUCUAGUAAAUAUUGUUAGAUAUAUUGUUAAUUCUGCUAUAAAUAUUGUUUGCUGUUAAUUUAGGAGCAAAUCCGGAAGGCGGGAGCUAGCUUAGGGGCCCGCCCCCUCCAAAAGCCAUGAGAGCUAGUCCGAUCAAUCUAGCUAGCAUCCUAUGACUUUAGUUCCAGAGGCAAAUAACUCGAAACUGAAUUGGAAGCUCUUUCUGUCUAUAGGUUUAUACCACUAAGUGAUGGCAUUAGACACUAACUACAUUGUUCCUGAUUGGAUUGCUUUGUCUUGAUUCUCCUAGUUACAUCUCCACUUAACUCCGCUAUCAAACUAGGGAUAUUUGAAGUGAGCCGAAUCUGUGGAGCGAUGACGGCUAACCCUACUCUGUUAAUCUGUUACUAAGCUGAAUCUGUGGACUGAGUCGCUAACUGCACUCUCUCUUGUCUUGAAAGAGGAACUCCAAAUUUAAAAUCCACAUAUAUACUUUCCUGUCAUAAUCUGAUAGCAUAUGGAGCUUUUACCAUGGUAGCUACUCACUCAUAACUCCCUCUAACGCAAGGAAGUAAUCCAAUCCCGGAAACGAAACUCUAAUUGCUAACUCCACAAGACACUCUUCCCACUUAAUGUCAAUUGUCUACUAUCAGUAUUGAUGGACUUCCCCAGUCCUUUACUUUUUACUUUAAGGCUUCGAGCGGAUAGGCAAUGAUAAUUGGGAGCCAAUAGACAAUAUGAACUAUGUAUCUAAGCCUAACAACAUUGCAUUCUAUACACUAUUUCUUUUAUCAUUCGUAUACUCACUUGCCAUAAGCAUAUAGAGCUAGUACAGCAAGUCUUGCUAUUGACUUUAUAUAGCUUAUAUAGUAGCUAUGCCAUAGUUCUUUCAUAACCUAGCUGUAAAGGGGAAUGAAGUGGUUUAGCUAUGCUCAUAACAGAGUCGAAUUAAGACCUUCUUUCUUUCUAGUGGUCAUUCGAGUUAGGCAGGUGGAGAAUUAUAAAAGAAGAAGAUGAAAAUAAAAAAUUUAGCAGGGAAAUACACAAGUCAAGCGUUGACCUCCUAUAACCAAAAUUCUGUCAGUUUUCUUUUUUUGCUGCUUUCUCUUAAUUUUCCUCUUCUGUUGUGUUUACCUUUCCCUAUAAUUUAAUAGCCUCAAAACUACGAACUAGUGGAGUCUGGUAGUAUGAAACCAGUGUUCAUGUCGUCAUGCACCAUUCUUUACAUCGACUUCACAGCUAAUGUUGCUGGUGCUACAGUGGAGAUGUUUUUUGCCGAGCUCAUAGCGUUUUCUGAUACGGAUAUAUCUGUCAGCCUUUGCAAAUCCAAGGGGCCAAUAGACUCUUUUUCAGCUGUGGAUGAAUUGAAUGGCUGCUGUUUUUGUGCCAGUUAUAACAAUGUUCAGCAUCCUGAAGAUGGAGGCGUCAUACGUGGCAGGGAUGCUUUACAAUACAGUUCAAGAUAUUAUGCGCCAUAAAUAUGACCAACACAAUUCUUGACGAGGACAGGCACUUGUGCAUGUAAGUAGUUAUUUAGCUCUUGGAGAUAAAAAAAAACAUAUGUCUAAAAAUGACAGCAGGACUUUUGAUUUGUAAAAACUAUAAGGCUAAAAUUCACCCCUUAGUCUCAUAACUUCUGCAUGAUAGAAAAGAAAAUAAAUCAUAGCACUUACUCUCUGGAGGGGCACGGUCUGCAUACAUCUUACCCUUCUCAGCCCCCACUCUAAGCGGGAUAUACCGGGUAUGUUUGGUUUGGUUUAAAAUAAAUUAUAUCACUUUUAUUGACCUGAGUAUUGCUCCAAGCCAAAUGAGUAGCUGUAUAUAGACAGAAUGAUGGGAAGAGGGGAAAACUAACAAUGUUGGUUCUUUGAUCAGGGAAGGAAUUAUAGUUCUUCAUCCACUGACAUUACGUAUGUGUUUCGUCCUAUCUCCAAAUGUUUGUGUUUAAAGGAUGUGCCAUCCAUUUGUAAGCUUAACAUCAAUGGAUAUGGGGUUUUGAAAUCCUGCAUAAUUGAGUUUUAUAAUAUGUACUCAUAUUUUGAUUGGUUUUUCUGCCUGUUAUUUAUAUCAUGGGUUUACCUGCUGUUAGUUCCUCGGUUCUAUUUAUCUGCCAAAUGAUAUGUACACACUUCGUGUUUUUGCCAAUGUUGCGGUUUGCAUAUUAUAAUAAUAACUUUUGCCUUCUACUCCCUUUGGCUAUGAGCCCUAAUCAAUUGAUGAAUGACCAUGGAAAACAUACCUGAGUACUAAACUUCCAUACCCCUGCCAACCCCGAGACCAAGCUCUCUGCUGUAUAUUUGUAUUUAUAUUCUGUCUCGGUAAAUGUUUUGUUUAUAGGCCAAAGGACAGCAAGCACUUGGCCACUUAGGUUGGGUUGACGCAUCUCUUCAUCAUAAACUGAAUAAAAUUUCAAUGUAGUUGCUCAAACUUUUUAGUGAUACCGUUUCAUACAUCUUAACUUUAACCAUGCUCCUGAACCCCAAAAGGGAAGGUGAGUACACAUCAGCACAAGUUAAUGAUGCAAGGCUGUACGCAACUGAAGCCGUUUUACAACCAAUCAAGGGUCAGUUUCCUUCUGAAUGUUAUUGUUUGCUCUUAAUCAAUCAUCUCUGGUAUCGUCUCUGAUGGUGGAGCCAGGGUUCAUUAUACGUGUGAUCCUGCCAACAUGCUCACUUUUCCAUAUCAAAUUCACGGCUAAGAAGAGUAAUGUUGCUCCAGAGGAGAUUUUUUCGCUGAACUGACAAGCACCAACGGGUUCUUUCUUUCAGCAUUUGCGUAUGCAUGGGUCAAAAAGACUCCAUUUCAGGAGAUAAAUUAAGAGGCUGCCAUCAUUGCCGCAAGUAUAACAGCGUGCAGCAUCCUAGAGGUGGAAAAUUCGUAUGUGGUGGUGAUUUAUUGUUCAAGAAAAUGCCAGGGAAGACGCUGGAUCCUCUUUUGGCUGAGUAUUCAAGUGUUCAUAAUGCAUAUGACCGAAGACAACAAGGGGUCUGUUGAAUUUCAAGUAGGGGUCGCUAAUAAGAGAUGCAACUCACUCGAACUUAUUCACAUCUUGCUGAGCUUUAGCACCUGAGACAUUAUAUUUAGAACUCUAUAGCUACUCUCCGCUGCUCUGCUUUGGGUGCGAAGUGGAACCUUUUAUUUGAUUUUUAUUGUGAAGUUGGGCUGUUUAUGAACCUUAUUUAUGGUUUGUACUUGGACAUGACACAAGUUAAGCUAAACUUCGACACGUAUCAAAAGUAUGCUCUACCUUGCAUUGCCAAAC